rnacentral:tRNA from 1 species
GGGGGUAUGGCUGAGUGGUAGAGCACUUGCUUAGCACACACGUGGUCCUGGGUUCAAUCCCCAGUGUCUUUG